ensembl:antisense
GCUCUUUAUUCUCUGAACUGCAGCGAUAGACAGGGCUAAGGGAAAGGGUAUUCUAAACCAUGCCUUGCCACAAAAGCUGCUAAAUAUCUGGAUUCUCCUCCACCUAACAUAGCCACAGAGCUCCCAUCUCCCUUGAACUCAGGCCCUCUGCACUGGGUACAAUCUUCAGAAGCUCUGCAGACGAGCUUCUCCCAGGGCUGGUGCUCCCUGUGUUUUCCUCUCGACUGUAUUCCUGCGUUCUCACGAACAUACCCCUGAAGAAAGUAAACUGGAAAUCCAAAGAAGUAAGUAGUAAGAAAGACCGUGCAACCGUGAGUCCUGGCUGCGCCACAGACUAAGCCACGUGAUGUUACGCACAGCAGCUCUGCUCUUCUGAGGAAUGAUCAUCUGCCCACUGCGGAUUAGUCAGGUAAGCCACAAAAGCUGAGCAGAAGAACACCCACCACACAGUGAGAGGUACGUAAUGUUAGUUUUGUAAGUGAUUUUGUGCAUAAAACUCGCUCAUAUGUAUUGUGAAAUCCGGCUCUGAUACAUUAAACAAAAUAAAGUUCAAUAUAACACUAGAUGAAUACAUUGCUGCACAGAUAAAGAGUGAGGAGUUAAUAGUAGUGUGUCUAUUUCAGACAAGCCCUCCAGCUAUGGGGGAGGCAGAGUCACUGCAGAGCCUGCUGACAGACUGUUUAGUCACUCGUUUCAGAAUGAGCAUAUAGUUAUGAGAAUGUACAUCUAAGUCUCAGGUGACGGUGAUACUGAUCAGGGACCCCUCUGACACUUCUAAAGAGAAAGUGACACCAAGGAAGGAUGAAUAAAAAGCGAAAGAGUUAAGAGUACUUCAAGACUCUGAAUUCUCACCAUAUCUGUAAAUUUUCUUUGACCUUUUUUUUUUUUUUUUUUAAACAACUGGUAAUACGGCCCUUUUUUUGCAUCUCCUAUUUCACCAAAUCCUUUUCUUCUGCAGAGUCAUUUCCUAUAGCUUCCCACUAAGGUGACUGCAUCUACUAUGGAAGCAUAUGUAGGAAUUACAAUUGUAGAAAUGAGAUAGAUCUAGAUAUUAAUAUUUUCUAAAGCCAAUAUCGCAAAAAAGCACUGAUAUUGAGUUGUAUUUAAGAUUAACAGGAGUGAGCACACAGAAAUGGGAAAACUCAAGAUUCUGGAGAUUCUAUCUAUCAUCAAACCAUAUUACUAGAUUUUCUUAUCACACAUCACAAAACAUUCUAAGUGAAAAACUUUUAGUAUCCCUUUCUACACUGAAGAAACUGAUAGGUUACUAUUGAUAUUGUAUUUAUAGAUUACCCCAAGUGUGUCUUCAGAGGAGGGUAAAAUAUGUGUUUAUCCAUACAUAAGUAUUAAAGUAAAGACUGAAAUCCCCCCACAUAAAAAGACAGGUGCUGGGCCUGCACUGCUCUUCUAAUGUUUCCUUUUCUUCUUGGAGAAAAGCACAGUAUAACCAGCUCAGAUUCCUUGGUAUGCAUAAAAAAAUCAUCUGUUAACAUGUAACAAUGACAUGGAAACUUAGGGGAACUCUAUGGAACUAUUUUCAGAUCUGUAAAUAGUUUCUCUCAAAGACAAAAUAAAUGAAAUUGCUGGGCAAAGGACAGAAGAUGGCAAUUUCUAGGUCAGACUGAGCUAUAGCCUAGGGCGACAACCAAGCAAGCAAGCAACCAACCACUAUCUACCAAAGAGAAAAACAAAACAAAGC